rnacentral:pre_miRNA from 1 species
CAUGCACUCAGGGAGGUCCCUCAGCCCAGAUUGCAAGAGGGCACAGGCCAGGCCGAGGGACUUAACUGGUGCACA